AUACGGAGGGUGCGAGCGUUGUUCGGAAUUAUUGGGCGUAAAGAGCAUGUAGGCGGUCUGUUAAGUCUGGUGUGGAAGCCCGGGGCUCAACCCCGGAAGUGCAUUGGAUACUGGCAGACUUGAGUAUGGGAGAGGAAAGCGGAAUUCCGAGUGUAGGAGUGAAAUCCGUAGAUAUUCGGAGGAACACCAGUGGCGAAGGCGGCUUUCUGGACCAAUACUGACGCUGAGAUGCGAAAGCGUGGGGAGCGAACAGGAUUAGAAACCCUUGUAGUCC
rnacentral:rRNA from 1 species